AUGGCCGUAUCAUGCCGAAACACCAGUUCCUGUAUGAUCACUGAAGUUAAGCAACGUCGAGCCUGUUCAAGAUCUUGAUGGGUGACGCUUGGGAGUACCAGGUGCUGUAAG